AAUAUUGGUCAAUGGGCGGGAGCCUGAACCAGCCAUGCCGCGUGCGGGACGAAGGCCCUCUGGGUCGUCCACCGCUUUUACACGGGACCAACCGCAGCUACGUGUAGCUUAUUGACGGUACUGUAAGAAUAAGGAUCGGCUAACUCCGUGCCAGCAGCCGCGGUAAUACGGAGGAUCCAAGCGUUAUCCGGAAUCAUUGGGUUUAAAGGGUCCGUAGGCGGCCUUAUAAGUCAGCGGUGAAAGUUUUUGGCUUAACCAAAAAAUUGCCGUUGAUACUGUAGGGCUUGAAUUUUUGUGAAGUAACUAGAAUAUGUAGUGUAGCGGUGAAAUGCUUAGAUAUUACAUGGAAUACCGAUUGCGAAGGCAGGUUACUAACAAACGAUUGACGCUGAUGGACGAAAGCGUGGGUAGCGAACA
rnacentral:rRNA from 1 species